AGUCGAACGUUUGACUUCGGUCAGGCGUGGCGGACGGGUGAGUAACACGUGGGAACCUGCCCAGAGGUACGGGAUAACCCAGGGAAACUUGGGACAAUACCGUAUGUGACCUGAGGGUGAAAGAUUUAUCGCCUUUGGAUGGGCCCGCGUCGGAUUAGGUAGUUGGUGGGGUAAAGGCCUACCAAGCCGACGAUCCUAGCUGGUCUGAGAGGAUGAUCAGCCACACUGGGACUGAGACACGGCCCAGACUCCUACGGGAGGCAGCAGUGGGGAAUAUUGGACAAUGGGCGCAAGCCUGAUCCAGCAAUGCCGCGUGAGUGAUGAAGGCCUUAGGGUUGUAAAGCUCUUUCGCACGCGACGAUGAUGACGGUAGCGUGAGAAGAAGCCCCGGCUAACUUCGUGCCAGCAGCCGCGGUAAU
rnacentral:rRNA from 1 species